GACGGAGGGUGCAAGCGUUGUUCGGAAUUACUGGGCGUAAAGGGCGCGUAGGCGGUCUGCUAAGUUCGGUGUGAAAGCCCCUGGCUCAACUGGGGAACUGCGCCGGAAACUGGCAGACUAGAGUAACCGGAGAGGAGGGUGGAAUUCCUGGUGUAGCGGUGAAAUGCGUAGAUAUCAGGAGGAACACCGGUGGCGAAGGCGGCCCUCUGGACGGAUACUGACGCUGGAGGCGCGAAAGCGUGGGGAGCAAACAGG
rnacentral:rRNA from 1 species